rnacentral:lncRNA from 1 species
GAGUUAUUAUGGCUGUCCAUAAAAAUGGGCCAGAAGAGUAAAUGCCAGCUCCUGGCCAACCCCCGCCCCCAAAUCCCACUCCCAACAGGUGCCAGGCGAGUCUCAGCAACACCCCACCUGCUCCCUCCCAAUCUCUGCAGCUCCCAGAGGAGCGGAUCAAAGGGAUGCAACCCACACACCCUGCUCCGCUCCAGCCACCAAAAGCCCCAGGAACACGGUCCCACAGGGGGCAAGUCCCCAGCAGCCCUGAGAAGCGCUGACGCUGGCAGGGAGGGAAGAAGGGCCCCAGCAGCUGACACGGGAAAGCUGGAACAGUGCAUCCUCACAACCCAUCGACCCCCUUCCUGUGACCGCUCUUCCUUCUCUUCCUCAGGCUUCCCUUGGGCAGGACAGUGGGAUUCCCUUGCCAGGAAACCCCAGAUACCCUCACCUCAUACUCUGGGUCUCCUGUGGACCCUCGAGGCUGCCGCCCAAGACAGGGACAACAGGCCCCAAAGGCUCUCAGGGCUGCAGCUCGGCCCUCAGCUGGUCCCUGCUCACCAGAGCACCCAGCCGCCCAACACAACGCUGAGGGCUGGACAGGGCCUCAUGUUGGGACCAGGCCCAGCUGGUCUUCGUUCAUUCUCUCUCCCUGCAUUCAACACGUGUGUUGAGCUCUGUAACAUUCUAAGAAUGCGGAUGAGGAUGACUCCAGAACUCUCCCUGCCCUGAAGGAACUCACAGGUUCGGGAAGAGAACUGGAAAGCUUGCAUUCACUGAGUGCUUACUGUGUGCUGGGCACUGUUCCAAGCACUUGUAUGGAAUGACCUCCAAGGGAGGUGGUACUCAGCAGGCAAGGAAAGUGAGCCCACGGGGUUAAGUCAAU